CAAGUCGAACGAACUCUGGUAUUGAUUGGUGCUUGCAUCAUGAUUUACAUUUGAGUGAGUGGCGAACUGGUGAGUAACACGUGGGAAACCUGCCCAGAAGCGGGGGAUAACACCUGGAAACAGAUGCUAAUACCGCAUAACAACUUGGACCGCAUGGUCCGAGUUUGAAAGAUGGCUUCGGCUAUCACUUUUGGAUGGUCCCGCGGCGUAUUAGCUAGAUGGUGGGGUAACGGCUCACCAUGGCAAUGAUACGUAGCCGACCUGAGAGGGUAAUCGGCCACAUUGGGACUGAGACACGGCCCAAACUCCUACGGGAGGCAGCAGUAGGGAAUCUUCCACAAUGGACGAAAGUCUGAUGGAGCAACGCCGCGUGAGUGAAGAAGGGUUUCGGCUCGUAAAACUCUGUUGUUAAAGAAGAACAUAUCUGAGAGUAACUGUUCAGGUAUUGACGGUAUUUAACCAGAAAGCCACGGCUAACUACGUGCCAGCAGCCGCGGUAAUACGUAGGUGGCAAGCGUUGUCCGGAUUUAUUGGGCGUAAAGCGAGCGCAGGCGGUUUUUUAAGUCUGAUGUGAAAGCCUUCGGCUCAACCGAAGAAGUGCAUCGGAAACUGGGAAACUUGAGUGCAGAAGAGGACAGUGGAACUCCAUGUGUAGCGGUGAAAUGCGUAGAUAUAUGGAAGAACACCAGUGGCGAAGGCGGCUGUCUGGUCUGUAACUGACGCUGAGGCUCGAAAGUAUGGGUAGCAAACAGGAUUAGAUACCCUGGUAGUCCAUACCGUAAACGAUGAAUGCUAAGUGU
rnacentral:rRNA from 1 species